UGGGGAAUUUUGGACAAUGGGCGAAAGCCUGAUCCAGCAAUGCCGCGUGUGUGAAGAAGGCCUUCGGGUUGUAAAGCACUUUUGUCCGGAAAGAAAUCCUUGGCCCUAAUACAGUCGGGGGAUGACGGUACCGGAAGAAUAAGCACCGGCUAACUACGUGCCAGCAGCCGCGGUAAUACGUAGGGUGCAAGCGUUAAUCGGAAUUACUGGGCGUAAAGCGUGCGCAGGCGGUUUGCUAAGACCGAUGUGAAAUCCCCGGGCUCAACCUGGGAACUGCAUUGGUGACUGGCAGGCUAGAGUAUGGCAGAGGGGGGUAGAAUUCCACGUGUAGCAGUGAAAUGCGUAGAGAUGUGGAGGAAUACCGAUGGCGAAGGCAGCCCCCUGGGCCAAUACUGACGCUCAUGCACGAAAGCGUGGGGAGCAAACAGGAUUAGAUACCCUGGUAGUCCACGCCCUAAAACGAUGUCAACUAGUUGUUGGGGAUUCAAUUUCCUUAGUAACGUAGCUAACGCGUGAAGUUGACCGCCU
rnacentral:rRNA from 1 species